UUGACAUGCGUGCGAGUCACCGGGCGAGUAAAAUUGUAAGGCGCAAGGAAGCUGAUUGGUGGGAUCCUCCUAUGGGUUGCACCGCCGACCGACCCCAAUAUUUUGUGAAGGGUUCGAGUGAGAGCAUACUUAUUGGGACCCGAAAGAUGGUGAGCUAUGCCUGAGCGUGGCGAAGCCAGAGGAAACUCUCAUGGAGGCCCGCAACAAUACUGAUGUGCAAAUCGUUUGUCUGACUUGGGUAUAGGGAAAAAGACUAAUCGAACUGUCUAGUAGAUGG
rnacentral:rRNA from 1 species